AAAGCACAAACCCAACAGCUUGAUUGUAGGUCAGCCCUUUCUUGUAAUUUGCGGUUCCAUUUUCAGAGGUCCUAUUUUCCUGAUUUGUAACAUGGCUAGAACGAUACUGAGGGUAUUCAAAAGAAUCUGUGGCUCCUCAGAGUAAUUCUAGUUAGACUCCUGUUUUUGGGGUAAUUUGAUAUGCAAGAGCACACCAGAUGAGUAAACUACUAAUAAAUAAGUUAGUCAAGAAGCAUAAAUUAGGUUCUUCUCAUAGGAUAAUGAAUUGUUUUCUUAUUAAGCAUUGUUGGAAGCCGUAUUAGCUAUUCCGGCAAUGAGAAUUAUUCUUACAUCUGGUUUUAGUUUAGUGAUUCUUUUGUUAGGGGCAAAAAUGUGAGUUUGAGAAAACCUAAUACUACACAUUGUCAAAAAUAAUAAAUUACUGGAGUCAAUAAUGGUAAUAGUAAUGUGCUAACAGUUAUUUUUACUUUUCUUUUUGAGAGACAGGGUCUUGCUACAUUGCCCAAGCUGGACUUGAACUCCUGGUCUUAAGUACUUCUCCUGCUUCAGCCUUCUGAGUAGCUGAGAUUACAGAAUGGAUCAUUGGCUUUAAAAAUGAGGAUUAAAAGAUCCAAUUUUUCAUCCUACCGAUGUUUCAUCGAGAAAAUAUGAAACUGACAAAUCAGAGAAUUCUCUGACUCACAAGAUGGAGACAUCUGCUCCAGAGAAAGUGGGCUAAACUGUAAAUAAAGAAAAAAAUAUGAGGAAAGUUAUUUUUCCCUUGCCUUUACAGAUGUUAAUGAUUUAUUUAAUUGUGUCUUAUGCAACAAUCUUUUAAAUACUCUUAUGGUGCAAAUUAAUUGCCACAUCAGUUUGAGAUCAAUCAUUCAGAGUCUAAAGAAAAACAAACAAUGUAAAUGCAGAUGUGAUAAAUUAGUAUGUCAUCAACAGAACUGCACUUCUGCCUUACAAUAGAAUCUCUGGGCUUGCUGUAUUGCUUGUAGUUGUCUGUUAUCAGCUCCAACCAAGCACAGAAGAUCUUUUAUAUGAAAGUUGGCCACACACACAAGUGGUAGGGAAGCACUAUUUUGAAUCUCCUGGUUCUUCCUGAACAACCAUGUUGACGUUUGCGCUGAUAGUGCAAAAGCAACAGUGGGUAACACAGCUGCAUCUCAGCAGGAAUCAGAGCAGAGACAAUCCUCAUGCUACUCUUCACCACCACACACACACACACAGUCGAAACACCACGUUUUCACAUACGAAUGCUUGAUGAAGCAGUAUAACAUACUGAUUUUAUUAAACUGUUGCCCUCAAGGAUACUUUUAGAAAAGAAUUCUAUAUGGUGAAGAGGAAAGUGUGCAUAAAGCUCUUCUGCUUCAUAACAAAAAACGAUGGUUGUCUGGAGAAAAGCACUCCACUUGUACACCUGCACAAUUCUUUCAGCUGGGGCUCACCUGACUGCUUUUUGUCGUGAAAAUUGACUUGAAAGAAUGACUAGCAGAUAAGCAGUGGUUAGUCACACGUUGGGAUUAGACACAGACUUUCUCAAUAAUUAGCAAAAUGACUCAGUCCCCUAAGGAAAAUGACAGUAUUUGUAGCCCAUGAUAAAUUUUAGCUUUUAAGCAGAAAUUAGAAUCCUGGAAAAUCUAAGUCCACCAACAUAAGCUUCACAGCUUCCCAAUACUUAAACUCAUUUCUGAUGAGAUCCGUGGUGACAGUAAUGACUGUAGGUUUUGAUACUGCAUAUGAAAUAUGUCAAUGUUUGGAAGAUACACAUAAUGUAUACAUAAUAUACAAUGAACUAAGAUCUUCCACAUGAACCAUGCAUAAUGCUACAAAAUUAUACAAAAAGAUCCACUGCAAGUGCAAGACAGACCAAUGGGUUUUAAUGUAAUAGAGUAUAGAAAGUUAACUGACAUAAUUUCAGAUUCCACACUGCAACUAACCUUUAAAAAAUGACCAUUUUCAAAUUUUGGUGAGCUAUCAAAGCAGAAUUAUCCACAGUGAUCUGUGAUGGCUUUUAGAAUACUCCACCCUUUCCCAACUACUAUGUAUGUGGGGCUGGAUUUUCUUCAUACACUUCAACCGAAACAACACAUCCCACCAGAGGCAGAUAUGAGAAUCCAGCAGUCUUAGGGCAGAAAAUGAGACUUGCAAAAAUGUAAAACCAAUGCUGCUCUUGUCAAACUGUUUUUUUUGGCUUUGAAAAGAGCAUUUUUUUCAUAAAAAUACACUAUUUGUGUUAACAUGUAAUCAAAUUAUUUUUAUUUUUUAAAUGAAGAAAUAUAUUUUUAAAAAUUUGUUUUAGUUUCAAAUAUGGCAAAUAUUAAUAGGUGUUUAACAGAUCUUUAAAAAAACUCUUGGGAAUGUAUGAACACAAAGAAGGAAACAAUAGUUGCUGGGUCUACCUGAGAAGGGGUAGGAGGAGGUAGAGGAGCAAAAAAGGUAACUAUUGGGAACUAGGCUUAAUACCUGGGUGAUGAAAUAAUAUGUAUAACGAACCGCCAUGACAUGUGUUUACUACGUAACAAACCUUCACCUGUAUCCCCAACCCUAAAAUAAAAGUUAAAA